rnacentral:rRNA from 1 species
UACGAAGGGGACUAGCGUUGUUCGGAAUCACUGGGCGUAAAGCGCACGUAGGCGGAUAUGUCAGUCAGGGGUGAAAUCCCGGGGCUUAACCUCGGAACUGCCUUUGAUACAGCAUAUCUUGAGUCCGAUAGAGGUGGGUGGAAUUCCUAGUGUAGAGGUGAAAUUCGUAGAUAUUAGGAAGAACACCGGUGGCGAAGGCGGCCCACUGGAUCGGUACUGGACGCUGAGGCGCGAAAGCGUGGGGAGCAAACAGG